GACUCUCUUUUCGGACUCAGCCCACCUGCACCCAGGUGAAAUAAACAGCUUUACUGCUCUCACACAAAGCCUGUUUGGUGGUCUCUUCACACGGACGCGCAUGAAAUUUGGUGCCAUGACUCGGAUCGGGGGACCUCCCUUGGGAGAUCAAUCCCCUGUCUUCCUGUUCUUUGCUCCGUGAGAAAGAUCCACCUACAACCUCAGGUCCUCAGACCGACCAGCCCAAGGAACAUCUCACCAAUUUUAAAUCAGGAGCUUACUACACGUGCCGGCAAUCUGGCCACUGGGCCAAGGAAUGCCCGCAGCCCGGGAUUCCUCCUAAGCCGCGUCCCAUCUGUGUGGGACCCCACUGGAAAUCGGACUGUUCAACUCACCUGGCAGCCACUCCCAGAGCCCCUGGAACUCUGGCCCAAGGCUCUCUGACUGACUCCUUCCCAGAUCUUCUUGGCUUAGCGGCUGAAGACUGACACUGCCCGAUUGCCUUGGAAGCCCCCUAAACCAUCACGGAUGCCGAGCUUCGGGUAACUCUCACAGUGGAAGACUGAGUCUCGCUCUGUUGCCCAGGCUGGAGUGCAGUGGCACGUCGGGUCACUGCAAACCUCCCGCUCCUGGGUUCAAGCGAUUCUCCUGCCUCAGUCUCCUGAGUAGCUGGGAUUACAGGCAUGAACCACCACGCCCGGACUUCCUGCCCUUUGAAUUUACCAAGAAGAGAUUUGAUAAGCACCACUUCAAUCAAGAUAUAUAACUAUUUCAUUACCACAGGGAUCUUCCAGGGCUACCGCUUUACAAUACUACUAACCUCCUCCCUCUAGCAUCGUUAAACCCUGGCAACUGUUCAUCUAUUAAAGGAUGACAUUGGCACUGGAGAUGACAUCUAAUAAAGAGACACAGAGAAGUAAAUCAUGCAAAUCUAAUGCAGAGAAUAAACUAAGCUUGUAACCUGUAAUAGCUUGUAGCUUCAAUGUUAUAUAAAUGAAAUCAUUCAGUA
rnacentral:lncRNA from 1 species